AGUGAACGCUGGCGGUAGGCCUAACACAUGCAAGUCGAACGGCAGCACAGUAAGAGCUUGCUCUUACGGGUGGCGAGUGGCGGACGGGUGAGGAAUACAUCGGAAUCUACUUUUUCGUGGGGGAUAACGUAGGGAAACUUACGCUAAUACCGCAUACGACCUACGGGUGAAAGCAGGGGAUCUUCGGAACUUGCGCGAUUGAAUGAGCCGAUGUCGGAUUAGCUAGUUGGCGGGGUAAAGGCCCACCAAGGCGACGAUCCGUAGCUGGUCUGAGAGGAUGAUCAGCUACACUGGAACUGAGACACGGUCCAGACUCCUACGGGAGGCAGCAGUGGGGAAUAUUGGACAAUGGGCGCAAGCCUGAUCCAGCCAUACCGCGUGGGUGAAGAAGGCCUUCGGGUUGUAAAGCCCUUUUGUUGGGAAAGAAAAGCAGCAGGUUAAUACCCCGCUGUUCUGACGGUACCCAAAGAAUAAGCACCGGCUAACUUCGUG
rnacentral:rRNA from 1 species